GUGUCGGGGAGGGGCAUUUGGAGGGAGGCGGAGCCAUGCCCAGGAGUGUGGGGGCCAUAGGGCAAUGUGGGGAGCGGGGGGAGAACCUUAAAUUUAUCCCCCUCCCCCCCCUCAGGUUUUCUGUCCUCCCUCCUGUGAGCCCAUUGGAGAGGACCUAGAACUGCCCCUGCAGAUCACGGCCAGCCCCGCCCCAGCCCCCCGCUCCCUGGAGGAGGAACUGCAGGAGGCCAUCCAGAAAGCCCAGCUGGUCCCAAGUCAGUCGAUCCAGGACAUCCUGGAGGAGCCGCUGGUGUGUCCAGGUGAUCUGCUUCCUGUGGACAUCUCCU